AAUAAAUGCGGUUUUGCACUAUUUAUGUCCAACGUUCGAUCGUUCAUCUUAUUUGAAUAUUUUUAUGAUUAAUAUUUUUUAUUGUUAUUAAAUGAUAAAACAUGAAUAACACUUUAUGUGUGACUAUUUUUUUUAAUCUUUUAUAAAUUUUUCAAAUAAGACGGACAAUCAAACGUUGGACACGGAUACCCACGGCUGCACUUAUU
rfam:Oryza sativa Japonica Group DNA, chromosome 8, cultivar: Nipponbare, complete sequence.